AGCAGCCGCGGUAAUUCCAGCUCCAAUAGCGUAUAUUAAAGUUGUUGCAGUUAAAAAGCUCGUAGUUGAACUUCAGGCCUGGCUGGACGGUCCGCCCUCUGGGUGAGCACUGUCUGUGGUCGGGUCCUACCUUCUGGCGAAGCGGCAUGGCCUUAACCGGCCGUGGCGGGGAACCAGGACUUUUACUGUGAAAAAAUUAGAGUGUUCAAAGCAGGCACGCGCUUGAAUACAUUAGCAUGGAAUAAUGGAAUAGGACAAUGGUUCUAUUUGUUGGUUUCUAGGACCGUUGUAAUGAUUAAUAGGGAUAGUUGGGGGCAUUAGUAUUCAAUUGUCAGAGGUGAAAUUCUUGGAUUUAUUGAAGACUAACUACUGCGAAAGCAUUUGCCAAGGAUGUUUUCAUUAAUCAAGAACGAAAGCUAGGGGAUCGAAGACGAUCAGAUACCGUCGUAGUCUUAACCAUAAACUAUGCCGAC
rnacentral:misc_RNA from 1 species